rnacentral:siRNA from 1 species
UCAGUCCAGUGAUAUUUGUGAUA